UCUUUCUCUGUAAACGUUCCUUGGUGACCAAACGUUGGAUCUUUGGUGCCUUAGUCUUUUCCUUACCUUCAAUCUUUCUGCGAACAACGAAUUUACGAACAUCAUCAGAUGGGCUGAGGUUGAAUAGCUUUCUGAUCUUAGAAGCUCUCUUUGGUCCAAGGCGUCUUGGCUUUUCACCAUCAGUAAGUCCUGGAAUAUCCUGCUCUCCUCUCUCAACAACUACCAAACUUAAUACAGAUAAGUCAUGGCUAACGAUGCAUCCACGGACUGACUUUCUCUUCAUUUCACCUGUGCGACGUGGGCGAUAGCAUUUCAUACCUUUUCUGAAUAAAAGACGAACACGAUUACUUGUUAAAACACCCUGCAUCAUUGGAAAGCCUUGUUUGUCAUUACCACCGGUAAUUUUCAAAAUAUAACCCUUGAAUUCCUCACCCAAGAAGCUACAGUCAAGUUCAGAACCAAUUCUUCUUUCGAAGAAAGGUAAGAGUAACUUCUCGUCGUCAAUUUCAAUACAUUUCUGAAGUCCUGUUGUUGGAUUAGCAAUGUUUAAUUUCAUUUUGGGAACUGCUCAAAAAACCAAAGAAAAAAAGAUGGUUAAUAGUCUACAAAGUUUUCUUAGACGAACUUAAUAUGCGUCGCUAUUAAGAGGAGCGGUCUGUUUUACAUUAAAGUUAUUCCAAUUAAUAUUAGUCCGCUUAAUUAAAAUUAAUUAUAUCAAAUAUUUAAUAACAUAC
rnacentral:antisense_RNA from 1 species